rnacentral:rRNA from 1 species
UACAGAGGUCCCGAGCGUUGUUCGGAUUCACUGGGCGUAAAGGGUGCGUAGGUGGCUUGGAAAGUUUGAUGUGAAAGCUCAGGGCUUAACCCUGAAAUGGCAUUGAAUACUGCCGGGCUGGAGGUUUGGAGGGGGGACUGGAAUUCUUGGUGUAGCAGUGAAAUGCGUAGAUAUCAAGAGGAACACCAGUGGCGAAGGCGAGUCCCCGGACAACACCUGACACUGAGGCACGAAAGCUAGGGGAGCAAACAGG